rnacentral:rRNA from 1 species
UACGUAGGGCGCAAGCGUUGUCCGGAAUUAUUGGGCGUAAAGAGCUCGUAGGCGGUUUGUCGCGUCUGCUGUGAAAACCUAAGGCUCAACCUUGGGCUUGCAGUGGGUACGGGCAGACUAGAGUGCGGUAGGGGUGACUGGAAUUCCUGGUGUAGCGGUGGAAUGCGCAGAUAUCAGGAGGAACACCGAUGGCGAAGGCAGGUCACUGGGCCGCAACUGACGCUGAGGAGCGAAAGCGUGGGGGAGCAAACGGG